rnacentral:rRNA from 1 species
AUCAAUUAAACUGAUCUCCUAGUAAAAAAGCUAGAAUUACAACAUAAGACCAGAAGACCCUGUGAAGCUUAAAUAAAACUAUUAAACCAUAUAAUAGCUACUUUCGGUUGGGGCGACCUUGGAAAAAAAAAGAACUUCCAAAUAAAAUGAAUAUACCUCAUUAUCUAAACAGGCUAACAAGCCAAAAAUGACCCAGCACAGCUGAUAAUUGAACCAAGUUACUCCAGGGAUAACAGCGCAAUCUUCUUCAAGAGCCCAUAUCAAAAAGAAGGUUUACGACCUCGAUGUUGGAUCAGGACAUCCUAAUGGUGCAGCCGCUAUUAAGGGUUCGUUUGUUCAACGAUUAAUA